AUUGAAUGCUGGCGGCAGGCCUAACACAUGCAAGUCGAACGAGUGGCGGACGGGUGAGUAAUGUCUGGGAAACUGCCUGAUGGAGGGGGAUAACUACUGGAAACGGUAGCUAAUACCGCAUACCAUCGGAUGUGCCCAGAUGGGAUUGGCUAGUAGGUGGGGUAAAGGCUUACCUAGGCGACGAUCCCUAGCUGUUUUGAGAGGAUGACCAGCCGCACUGGAAAUGAGACACGGUCCAGACUCCUACGGGAGGCAGCAGUGGAGCAAUUUGCACAAUGGGCGCAAGCCUGAUGCAACCGUGCCGCAUGUAUGAAGAAGGCAAUCGGGUUGUAAAGUACUUUCAGCGGGGAAGCGUUACCCGCAGAAAAAACACCGGCUAACUCCGUGCCAGCAGCCGCGGUAAUUC
rnacentral:rRNA from 1 species